rnacentral:tRNA from 1 species
CGGGGAGUAGCUCAGCUUGGCUUAGAGCGCAACGUUCGGGACGUUGAGGCCGUGGGUUCAAGUCCCACCUCCCCGA